UGGUUCAGAGAAAACAGCGAGAGAGAGAAAGGAGUUUGGGGGUUCCUUCCGUUCCUUUGCUCUGCCGCUUGCCGUCGAGAGGUAUUCCGCGAGAUUCGUGAUCGAUUUCGUGCGUCGAUCCUCUCCUGUCUUCCUUGAAGCGCUGGGGGUUGGUACUGUGCAACCAAGAGGUUUCUACUCGCUUUCUUCUGGUGUUUUCUCCCGGUUCCGGUUCUGCUUCCAUCUGUGUCGUCGUCUCGUCCGGUGGGAGCUGGAACCAUCGAGUUCGCCGCUUUUGAUUCGGGAUUGACUAAACCUGUGGGGAGGGAACGAAUGGCAUGGCAAAGAUUCCAGCCUUUCCAUCAGCUGUCACUAUAUGCUGCAGCAUUGUUUCGAGGCUUCCUAAUUCGGAAUUCAUUUACUAAUCUGCUGCUGCUGACACGUAAUAGGGAUAGCAAGAGAAGUGCAUGCGAAGGGAUUUUAAAGGACAUGGAAGGAUUCUGGCAUUAGGC